rnacentral:rRNA from 1 species
GACGAACGCUGGCGGCGUGCCUAAUACAUGCAAGUUGAGCGCUGAAGGUUGGUACUUGUACCAACUGGAUGAGCAGCGAACGGGCGAGUAACGCGUGGGGAAUCUGCCUUUGAGCGGGGGACAACAUUUGGAAACGAAUGCUAAUACCGCAUAAAAACUUUAAACACAAGUUUUAAGUUUGAAAGAUGCAAUUGCAUCACUCAAAGAUGAUCCCGCGUUGUAUUAGCUAGUUGGUGAGGUAAAGGCUCACCAAGGCGAUGAUACAUAGCCGACCUGAGAGGGUGAUCGGCCACAUUGGGACUGAGACACGGCCCAAACUCCUACGGGAGGCAGCAGUAGGGAAUCUUCGGCAAUGGACGAAAGUCUGACCGAGCAACGCCGCGUGAGUGAAGAAGGUUUUUCGGAUCGUAAAACUCUGUUGGUAGAGAAGAACGUUGGUGAGAGUGGAAAGCUCAUCAAGUGACGGUAACUACCCAGAAAGGGACGGCUAACUACGUG